rnacentral:rRNA from 1 species
CCCUUAGAUGUUCUGGGCUGCACACGUGCUACACUGGCAGGUUCAGCGAGCUUCAUGCCCUGAUCUGAAAGGAAUGGGAAAUCUUUUCAAAACCUGCCGUGCUUGGGAUAGAUGUUUGCAAUUAUUCAUCUUCAACGAGGAUUGCCUUGUAAGCGCACGUCAUCAGCGUGCAUUGAAUACGACCCUGUAUUCUGUACACACCGCCCGUCGCUCCUACCGAUUGAAGUUUUCGGUGAGUUGACAGGAGGAUUUUUUUGAAACUGGUUCGCCAGUGGCUUUUAGAUCCAAAUGCCAACGAAUCGAUGGCUUUAGAGGAAGGAGAAGUCGUAACA